GAUCAGGGGAAAGUUGUAGACCCGAAAGAAUCGUGAUUGUUUUGUUUUGCUUAGAGAAAGUAUCUAUAUUCUUUGAAGUGUUUGCACGUUAGAUUAGAACUUUUUAGUGGAACCAACUUCGGCGACCAAAUCCGAAGUUGCGACGCUUCCACCGAAAGAGACGUCGAAGGAAAAAGGGGCUAGCACUGCGCUUAUUUCGGAGGGUCUCGUCAGUUGGAGCAACACUCUCUUCAUCCUCACCCUCAAGUUCGGCCUUAAGGAACUCAUACAGCUCCACGAUCUUGUCUAAGGUCAAUGCUUUGUAUCGCCAAACUCAGGCCCAACAAAGUAACGAGAAUCAAAAUCUGAAACACCCAGAACAAACGGGAGAUGUUCUCAACACUUUUCUAACCAAUGAAAGACAAAACUUCUUACCUUUUGCAUGAUGCUGAUGAGUGUGUUGUUCUUGCAGAAAGGGCCCGACGAAAGCUCCGGCGUCGUCCAUUCGUUCUACGUUGAGUCUGGAUGUGAAAACGAUUUGACGGCCAAGCGCUGUGGGAAAGACUCUCCGACGCUUUACGAGUAGUUGGUAAAACCAGAUUUUUUGACCAAGACCACUCCCAUUGGCAAGACCCUCAGCACAUUGGUUAGUCUGAAAGUCAUCUAAUCCUGAUGCUUCUGCGAGGACAUACAGUAUAUGAGAUGAUCUUUAGACAUGCAAUGGGUGUCUUGGCUUUAUCAAAUGGAAAAAAGUAAAAGUCAGUAACAUUCUGUCCAUUUUCAUAAAUUCUAUGCGUUUUCAUACAUUUUAUCCUUUUACAA